GACGAACGCUGGCGGCGUGCUUAACACAUGCAAGUCGAACGGUGACCCUCGGAGCUUGCUUCGGGGUGAGCAGUGGCGAACGGGUGAGUAACACGUGAGUAACCUGCCCCUGACUCUGGAAUAAGCGCUGGAAACGGCGUCUAAUACCGGAUACGACACGCCUCCGCAUGGGGAGCGUGUGGAAAGUUUUUCGGUCUGGGAUGGACUCGCGGCCUAUCAGCUUGUUGGUGAGGUAAUGGCUCACCAAGGCGAUGACGGGUAGCCGGCCUGAGAGGGCGACCGGCCACACUGGGACUGAGACACGGCCCAGACUCCUACGGGAGGCAGCAGUGGGGAAUAUUGCACAAUGGGCGAAAGCCUGAUGCAGCGACGCCGCGUGAGGGAUGACGGCCUUCGGGUUGUAAACCUCUUUUAGCAGGGAAGAAGCGAAAGUGACGGUACCUGCAGAAAAAGCACCGGCUAACUCUGUGCCAGCCGCCGCCGUAA
rnacentral:rRNA from 1 species